rnacentral:snoRNA from 1 species
AUCCCAUGAUUUGGACACUUGCUCAUUAGCCCCUUGAACCUGUUCCAUGUCUCAUGAUAGCUCUCUUCAUUUCUCUGUUUUCAAUCUUAUUUUUGUUACU